GUAUGUGAACCUGCGGAAGGAUCAUUAACACGUUCCAUAGCCUAAUCAACCAACCUGUGAACUUGUAUCUGGCUGUGUGUAUAGAUAUAUACUUCGUAUAUAUGUAUAUCAUUUCAGCCCCAACUCCAUUAAUCAUAUGGAGCUGUCAUAUUGUUGAGAACACAUCUGUAUUCCCUCUUAUGAUUAGUUCUCCAUAUAAUUUAAUGGUAUUUUUUUAUUCACGCCCUAGUUUUUCAUUCUCUAACAGGAAUGGACUAACGAAUUGAUCAAUAUCAACUUUGCUCAUAUAUAGAUUUGAAGUGUCGACCAGCUCUAGUAGCCCGACUGCUAUAUAUGGUGCCAAAAUAUACAUAAAAUAAGAGAACAACUCUUAGCAAUGGAUAUCUUGGUUCUC
rnacentral:misc_RNA from 1 species